GGCUGUCUCUGUUUCACUGUAUUGGUGUGUGACUGUAACUGUGUGUGCGUCACACUCUGCCUGUGUGUGACUGUAAGCCUGUGUGUGUUUGAUUUUUCCAACAACGAUGCUGUAUCAAUCCCAAAGUGCCAGCAUGGACGUCCCCAACGCUUCCACCUGUCAUGGAGAAAGCUGUUUAUGGAACCCCGAGAUGGUCGGCUGUGAGCACGUCAAAGGCAGCGAGGGAGCUAUAAUCCUGCUGCUCUACUCCCUCCCUCGCCAUCUACUGAUGCCGGGAGCCGUGUGUGCGUAUGUCAG